CCGCACGGGUGAGUAACACGUAUCCAACCUGCCGUCUACUCUUGGACAGCCUUCUGAAAGGAAGGUUAAUACAAGAUGGCAUCAUGAGUUCACAUGUUCACAUGAUUAAAGGUAUUCCGGUAGACGAUGGGGAUGCGUUCCAUUAGAUAGUAGGCGGGGUAACGGCCCACCUAGUCUUCGAUGGAUAGGGGUUCUGAGAGGAAGGUCCCCCACAUUGGAACUGAGACACGGUCCAA
rnacentral:rRNA from 1 species